ACCUGUAUUGACCGCCCUGUCUUUCCUAAGCAAACAUCAUAUAUACUUAGGCAAACCAGAAGGGAAGCUCUACCAUCUUUCUUUAACUUUUCUGUGUCUUCCAGGUGAGACAAGAAGGGACUGUGACAGAUCCACAGAGCUGACUGAAGCUGUGACACUCAUUGUCUUCCUGUGGAUUCCUGCAAUCACGCAGGAUUCUGCACAUUCUGAACAACUCACUUCGUCCCUCAAGAGAUUAUAGACAAAGGGCUACAGUCAGUCUUACUAUCAUAAGUGUGAAAUAACCCCUUUCAACUUAACCGUGAUAGAACUGGAGCAGAUGUUGGAGAUGGUGGAAAUUGGUCCUGGCCCCUUGGGUUGGGACAACGAAGCAAGAUGCCUACCUGUUGUCCACUCUACAUUAUACAGAGAACCAGGGAAAGAGAAUAUGAACACUCAGAGAAACAAAAUGAUACUUUUGGAGCCACAGUUGUCUGAGGGACGAAUGGCACCGCUCCAUAGGAUGGUGAUGAUGGCAGAUGGCAGAAGGCCUUUUCAAUACCUUAUUUUGGUACUUGUUAACAGGCCUGGAAGAAGUUUCUUUAAGGGCUCAGUCUGUCUCACUCCCACUUCUGCAGAACUUCAUCCAGCUGCAUGUGAAAUGUGAUGCUGGCCUGUGUCUGAGCUUGGACAGCAGGCUGGGGAUUUGGUCCCG
rnacentral:lncRNA from 1 species